UCCCAGCUCAGCCAGUAGAGCAUGAGACUCUUAAUCUCAGGGUCGUGGGUUCGAGCCCACGUUGGGCA
rnacentral:tRNA from 1 species